AUCUGUGAUGUUCGUUGUGGGCGCUACAGAACAACCGUGUGUCUGACCACCAGUGGCCAUUUAGCAAUGAGGAUGACAGAGAUGAUCUUACUAUAUCCUGCCCCUCUCCCUUGGUGAGAGCUGCAGUGGUAUGUGAGAAUUCCACGGGAUCAUCGAAAGGAAUUAAAGUAGAAGCAUUUCAAAUGAGCCAACACUCAUCCGGGCCAGCGCUGUUCAAUAUGAAGGGAACAUGUUACAUACACAUGUGGGCUUGCAUUUCCUUCUGAAAGUAAAAAAAUCCAGAACUCUGACGUGUGUUUGAUACUUAUAGCUUGGUUCUGAUAGAACCUAGCGGGGAAACCCCCACUCAAUUCCCAAUUCGG
rnacentral:lncRNA from 1 species